CAGAGACACUGAGGGAUUCAGAGUGAGAAGCCGCAUCACUGUUUAUAACUCAGACAGGAUCCACUGCAGACUUCUACAGAGACACCACCUGAGGGAGGCUGAGAUCUUCAUCACCAGUGAAGUCUGUCAUUUCUGGAGGUCUGCCAUCAUCACCAUCCCAGUUUUAGUGGUGGUAAUUGUUUUUGGACUGAUAACAGCUGCAGUUAUGUAUCACAAGAAAUGUAAGGGUUUAAAUGAUUUUUAUUAGUGACAUUACAGUGUUUUUACAAGCUGGUACUUUGUGUAAGAUAUAAGUAAACCACCUAACAUUUUAGCAUUUUAAAAUGGAGAGACUGGGCUAUGCUGGACAUUACAUAAGCAAUAACACAAAAAAGGGAGUGCUAUAAUAUAAUUAUCAUACACUGAUACUGCAAGAGCAUCUCCCAGCCAAUUACACUGCACGGUUCGGAAAUGCCUGUGGUAUACUUACCAGUUAAAACAAUAAAAACAUAGAAUAAGUGUGUUUCUAUCUAUCU
rnacentral:lncRNA from 1 species